rnacentral:tRNA from 1 species
GGGCGAGUGGCGGAAUUGGUAUACGCGCAACGUUGAGGUCGUUGUGGGAGUUAAAUCCUGUGCAGGUUCAAGUCCUGUCUCGCCCACCA